UCAAAGAGAGGUGAGAGUGAAUUAAGAAAAUCAGGUGCUGCUGCCCUAGAAUAUUUCUAUAUAAGUCAUGUUUCAUUCAUUUUUGAGGGCAGAGUCUAAGAAAUAAAAAAAGGGAAACGGCUGAGAUAUUCAUAGGUUGCAUAUAGAGAAUUCUCUUAGAUUUUCUCUUUUUGAAAGUUAAUUUUCAUGAUGGAUACACACAACUCAUAGAAGAAGGAUCAUAAGCUUCGUAGUAACAAGAUUCAAAGUUAUUUGGUUUUUUUCACUACUAUUUGAUUAUUUCCCGGGGAUUUUCUUGCAAGUUUUAAGCUGUGGGACUGCUAUUGAUUUGAUUAGAGUUUGCUGCUAUUAUUUGCUGAUUCCAGAAGAUUCUCUUUUUCUCAUUUUUUUUCGUUUGCUGCAACCAGGUACUCCUUUGAAUCCUGAAUGACAAAUGGAGCUUGAAUGUGUUUUGUGUGGAAGAUGUGUUUCUGCUGAAAUCAAUGAAGAUUGUUCUUGUUUGGACUUUAGUUUUCAUAUUUCCUUCUAAGCCAUUCAGCUUUCUCUUCAUUUCUUCCUUUUUAUUUCUUUCUUAUAUGUGAAAAUCUGUUGUGAUGGUCACUGGUUAGUGAAGUUAUUUAGUGACAAAUGUCUUAGUAGCUCAUACUGUAGGUAUUAAAUCUGUGUAAAAGUCCCAGAUAAAGUCAUAGUAUAAUCAGCUCGUUUAUCUAUUAUUCAUUGAAAUGGGGUGUUGACUAAUGUGUUGGCUUUGAGUUUGCUUGUCAAGUUUGAGGGAUUAAUUCUGGAGUCCCAGUUUUAUGUACUUUUAAAGAAAACUCCAUGUGAUUGCUAAAAUAAUGUCUAGAUGGGUCAUCUUAGAAGUCAAACAUUGAUGUGGUAGUUGAACAGCUGAUUUUGAUAUGAUUUAUUACUUGGUUAAAGUCAUUCGAAUUAUAAAAAUUCAAGCUAUUUGAUUUUUUAAUAUGCCACAGUACGUUCCUUGCUCAUGAAGAGAUUAACAUUGUAUUUUGUCAAUCACGUAUGUCUAUAGUCAUUCUGGUGAGUUAAACAUGGGAGUUGGUAUUCUUUGGUUUCCUUUUGGUGAGAUAUUCUACAUUGUAUCUGCUUUUGUUAAUAAUUAAUUGGAUCUAUGGAACAAGUAAAGUGCUGGGUGAACUUGUCUAAUAGUAGUAUCAUUUUGGGCCUUAGGAUUUGAAUGGGAGUUGGCCCCAAAGUCAAUAGACUAAAGAGGGUUUCAUUUUAGGGCCCAAUAACUACUACGUAAUUCUAGCUGAAAUCCUCCACUUAUGCCAUUUCAUAAUCGAUACUUCAAUAAUCUCGAAUUUAUUUAAGAGUGCAUGAAUCCCGUAGUUUGCUUUAAGUGCUUUUUAUUAAGCAAAGUGAGGUGUGUCAUAUCAAAUAAGACCUAUAAUUUAUGGCCCUCAUAAGACUAGAUCAAGAAAUCACUUGAAGAAAGAGAUUUGAGGCGUGCCAUAAGCAAGUUAAAUCAUCUAUGGCCCUCACAAAUGUUAUAAUUUAGAUAUUAAAAAUGAACUUCAUAGUUUACUUUAGGCGCGUUAAUUAUAUAAUUAUCAUUGCUAAUACUAAAAUCCAGGUGUACAUUUCAUGUUACCCGAUUCUAAUUUCCAACAAGGUUAAAUAGAACAUGUCAUGAAUUACGGGUGUAUUUCAUGUAGCGUGGCUUGCGAUGUGUUUUAAAUAACCUUGAAAUAAUUCCUUAAAUAAAUAAAAGCGGUUUUUUUAAAGUUAAAAAUGCACAUAGGUUUAAAAGUGUUUUAAAAUCAAAUAAUUAGGCCGAUAAUAAUAGUUUAGUGACCAUGCUAGAACCACGGAACCUAGGAAUGCCUAACAGCUUCUCCCGGGUUAACUGAAUUCAUUACCCAGAUUUCUGUAUUCGCGGACUAUAAAUAGAGUCAAUCUUUCCUCUAUUCGGGUUCUGAACCAGUGACUUUGGACACUAUAAAUUAUCCCAAGUGGCGACUCUGAAUAAUAAAUAAAUAAAUCUCGUUUCGAUUGUCACUUAAAUUGGAAAAAAUUCCCUUAUACCCUUCCCGGAGUAGUAAAAAGGAGGUGUGAUAGAGCCGAUUAUGGAACUUUAGAACAAGAUAAGUCUCCUGUCUAACUGUGUGAGCCGGAACUACCCCUAGGUAAUGUGUUUGAUAUAUGCUACUUUUUUGCGGGAGCUACGUACGCACGAGGUGAUGAGAGUUUGUACGUAGCUAGAUUCAUGAUAUGUCUAUGUAGACUUAGGUUUACGCCAUGCUAUAACUGCACUAUUUGAGUUGUUCCUUGCCUAUUAAAUUCAUUUAUUUUACAUUAAAACUUGAGACUAGAAUUUCUAGAGUGAUAGACUUGCUAUAGUGAAGAUUUGACGAGCUUCAUGAUUAGUUGCGGAAUAAAUGUGCUCCUCUUACGAAUUACUCCCGCGUUAUGUGUUUUCAUCAAUAAGCUUCCUUAAAGGUCAUAACUCACAUGUUUAUUUGUGAGUGGGGUCAAGAACCCGUUAAACCUUCUUAUUCUAAUAGGAUCGGGUCGUUCGCCCAGGUAGUAUAACGGAUACAUCUAUGGUUCAUGUUGUUCGGCCCUCGAGAGUUUGCACAUUAUGAUGGGAUUAGGCCGUUCGUCUCGGCAGGAUUAUGUACCAUACUCUCAUAGGAACGGGCCAUUCGCCUCGAUAGUAUAAUAGAUGUAUCUAUAGUUCGUGUCAUUCGACCCUCCAUAGUGCAUAGAUUAUGAUGGAAUCGGGACGUACGCCUUGGAAUUUCUACAAAAUACUCCUAUGGAAUCAUGCGUAAUAUUUGUCAAGAAACCAGUGUAUCUGGGAAUUCUUGAUUUGACUCAUGACGAUCUAUCUGGUGAGGUCCAAUAUAUAUAUAAUCCGGUAGAGGAGGUAACUGCUAAUUGAGAGAUUAAGCUUAUGGUUGAGAGGAGGAUUGUACCACGUAUUUAUGCUUGUUUAUUUUGUUUAUUUACUAUGCCCCAUAUCUGUUUACUUCUUACUAUAUCUGUCUUAUUGGACCACUAGUAAGUGUCGAUGCCGCACCCCUCGUUACUACUUCUCUAGGGUUGGGCUAGAUACUUAUCGGUAACACGUUGAUAUACAUACUCAUGAUGCACUUACUGCACUUAUUGUGCAGGUAUACAUAUAUAUUUCUGGUGGUCCUCUAGGUAUAGAGGCACGGCUAUUGUGGGAACUUUACAGUGAGCUCCACUUCUUUGUUACGAUCCGCAUCAUACAGAGUCUCCAUCAGAGUUAUUUAUAUUUUCCGUCUAACUUGUAUUUGAGACGGAGGUUGUAUUAUUAUAAAUAGAUGCUCAUGCACUUCUGACACCGGGUUUUUGGGGUUCCUACUAGAUGUUUAGUAUGGUAGUUCUUGUAGUUAUUAUCAUUUCACCCUGUAAAUUCUCUUUUAUACUGUAAAUUAAUGGAAAUUAUGAU
rnacentral:lncRNA from 1 species